UACGAAGGGGCUAGCGUUGCUCGGAAUCACUGGGCGUAAAGCGCACGUAGGCGGCUUACUAAGUCAGGGGUGAAAUCCUGGAGCUCAACUCCAGAACUGCCUUUGAUACUGGCGAUCUCGAGUCCGGGAGAGGUGAGUGGAACUGCGAGUGUAGAGGUGAAAUUCGUAGAUAUUCGCAAGAACACCAGCGGCGAAGGCGGCUCACUGGCCCGGUACUGACGCUGAGGUGCGAAAGCGUGGGGAGCAACAGGG
rnacentral:rRNA from 1 species